GCUCAGUGUGUAGUAGCCCAGUUGGGAGCAUGAGACUCUUGAUCUUAAGGUCAUGGGUUCGAGACCCCUGUUGGGCA